CAAAAUAAAGCUUAAUAGUUAGGCCUUUCAUUUACAUUGAAAAGAUUUCUGUGCAAAUCGGAUUAUUUUGA
rnacentral:tRNA from 1 species